rnacentral:rRNA from 1 species
UUAUAAGAUACGUUUGUCGCAUGGCAUUUGUAUCAAACGCUCCGGCGCCAUAGGAUGGACCCGCGUCCCAUUAGCUAGUUGGUGAGAUAACAGCUCACCAAGGCCACGAUGGGUAACCGGUCUGAGAGGGCGAACGGUCACACUGGAACUGAGACACGGUCCAGACUCCUACGGGAGGCAGCAGUGGGGAAUAUUGCGCAAUGGGGGCAACCCUGACGCAGCAAUACCGCGUGAGUGAAGAAGGUUUUCGGAUCGUAAAGCUCUGUUAUUGGGGAAGAAAAAAAGACGGUACCCAAGAAGAAAGUUCCGGCUAACUACGUGCCAGCAGCCGCGGUAAUACGUAGGGAACAAGCGUUGUCCGGAUUUACUGGGCGUAAAGGGCACGCAGGCGGUUUUUUAAGUCAGAUGUGAAAGGCCACAGCUCAACUGUGGACAUGCAUUUGAAACUGAAAGACUUGAGUAUUGGAGAGGCAAGUGGAAUUCCUAGUGUAGCGGUGAAAUGCGUAGAUAUUAGGAGGAACACCGGUGGCGAAGGCGGCUUGCUGGACAAAUACUGACG